AGGUAUGCACAGAAGAAAAGCCAUGUGAGGAUACAGGGAGAAGGUGACCAUCUGCAAGCCAAAGAGAGAGGCCUCGUAAGACAACCCUGUUGGCACCUUGACUCUUGAACUUCCAGACUUCAGAACUUGGAAGAAUUAGCAGGUCAUUGAUUUGAAAGCCUGGGUUCACAGAAGCAAAGCAGCUGGAUUGUUCCAGAGGGGAAGGAUCUCAGCAAUUGAAGAUGAAGCCUGGAGGUUGGAGUUUCCAGAGUUUUCUCAGACUCUUUCCACUCUUCAGCCCCGUCAUUUUUUGCAUGCUGGCUUUUUACUCCUGUGUUUGUUGUCUCCUGACAGACAUAGCUCCAUAUAUCAUGUGCUCACACCAGCGUUCCAAGUAAAAAGUAGGGUGCAGGGGCACAAGGUCCUUCCCUUCAGGGGCUCUGUCUUUUUAUCUGGGAAGCAAAAUCCUCUCCAGAAACUCCCCAGCAAAUUUCCCCUUGCCUCUCAUGGGCCGGAACUGGCUGCAUGACCAUACCUGGACACAGAGGAAGCUCGGAAGAUCUGUAUCAGUGACAAAGAUUCUUCCUUGACAAACUCCAGUCAGGCUACUUUGAACUCUAUUCUCAUCUGUGCCCUGACUUUUGGGCUUCUGUAUUCAUCUCUGCAUCGUUCAGUUUUAGCAAGACUCUGUUAGGUCGGUUUAGCCACAAUCCCGCCCUCACCCCUGAGGUUUCCAUUUAGUAAAUUUCCAUCCACUGACCCCCACCCUGCUCCUUGGCUAUA